rnacentral:rRNA from 1 species
UACGGGGGGGGCAAGCGUUGUUCGGAAUUACUGGGCGUAAAGGGCUCGUAGGCGGCCAACUAAGUCAGACGUGAAAUCCCCAGGCUCAACCUGGGAACUGCGUCCGAUACUGGUUGGCUUGAGUUUGGGAGAGGGAUGCGGAAUUCCAGGUGUAGCGGUGAAAUGCGUAGAUAUCUGGAGGAACACCGGUGGCGAAGGCGGCAUCCUGGACCAAUACUGACGCUGAGGAGCGAAAGCCAGGGGAGCAAACGGG